rnacentral:ncRNA from 1 species
UGAAGAAUCUUAGAUUUUCUUAAUGUUCUGUAAAACACCUAGCAAUGCAGCAACAGGACGUUGCUGCAAACAAAAGCCGGGGCAUGGACGCCACGUCUUUUGUGGUUGCGGGCGUAGAAAUUAUCUUGGCAAAACAUAUAGAAAAUAUUAGAUUCG